AGUGAACGCUGGCGGUAGGCCUAACACAUGCAAGUCGAACGGCAGCACAGUAAGAGCUUGCUCUUACGGGUGGCGAGUGGCGGACGGGUGAGGAAUACAUCGGAAUCUACUUUUUCGUGGAGGAUAACGUAGGUAAACUUACGCUCAUACCGCAUACGACCUACGGUUGAAAGCAUUGGAUCUUCGGACCUUGCGCGGUUGAAUUAGCCGAUGUCGGAUUAGCUAGUGGGCGGGGUAAAGGCCCACCAAGGCGCGGAUCCGUAGCUGGUGUGAGAGGAUGAUCAGCGACACGGGAGCUUGGACAGGGUCCAGACUCCUAAGAGAGGCAGCAGUGGGGAAUAUUGGACAGUGGGCGCAAGCCUGAUCCAGCCAUCCCGCGUGGGUGAAGAAGGCCUUCGGGUUGUAAAGACCUUUUGUUGGGAAAGAAAAGCAGUAGGUUAAGACCCCGCGGUUCUGACGGUAACCAAAGAAUAAGCACCGGCUAACUUCGUG
rnacentral:rRNA from 1 species